GGUUCAGAGACUUCGUUCUUCUUCCAAACAUCCGAUCGCCGCAACUGCAAACGUUUGUGGAAGUGUUGCGUUGAACAUCACACCUUCUUCAGGUAACGCACACCGGCCUCUGUGAGGAUAUUGAAUCUGCUCACCUUCUCCAGGUAUUCAGCUCUGCACACUUUGUAUCUGAUUCUGAAACAAAAUGUUUCAGCUUCUCCUGGUUUCUUCUGAUUGGCUGCCCCUCAUCUGGCUUCCAUAAACUAAACCUGGUUGUCUUAGGCUCCGCCUUUCACUCUUCUCAAAUCAUACCAUCAGCCUACCUUUACCCAUUUCACGUGUCAAAAAACCUGGAAAUAGUGAAAAAAUAAGGAUACCUGCACUCUGUGACAUCACACAGAUCCAUGAGGAGAAAAAAAGAGACAAACACACCCAUACACAUACAGACUCACACAGACACACACACACACACACACACAGAUACACGUGCACAGAAACACACAGACACACACUCACGCAGAGCUCAAAUUUGUUUUUGUUUUCAGGAUGUCGGAGACAAACCUUGUAACACACAAACUGAAACACAGCAGGUAAGCACACAUGCACACACACACACACACACACACACACAGACACACAUACACAGACAUGCACUCACGCAGAACUCAAAUUUGUUUUUGUUUUCAGGAUGUCGGAGACAAACCUUGUAACACACAAACUGAAACACAGCAGGUAAGCACACAUGCACACACACACACACACAGACACACACACACACAGACACACAUACACAGACACACACUCACGCAGAACUCAAAUUUGUUUUUGUUUUCAGGAUGUCGGAGACAAACCUUGUAACACACAAAUUGAAAGACAGCAGGCAAGCACACACACACGCACACACAUGCACACAGAUACACACACACACACAGAUACACUUGCACAGAAACGCACAGACACGCACUCACGCAGAGCUCAAAUUUGUUCUUGUUUUCAGGAUGUCGGAGACAAACCUUGUAACACACAAACUGAAACACAGCAAGUAAGCACACACACACACACACGUACAGACACACACACACACGUUUCUGAUGAUGCAUCCUUUUCUUCCAGUUUCACUUGCUCUAAAACUCCGUCUCUCUGUCUGUUGAAAAAUGGCAUUGACAACAAAACGGCAUCAGCUGAUGUGUGUGUGAGGGCAACGCGUCGAGCCAAUCAGAAGCCAAGUUUCAGUAUUGAACUAAUAACAAAAUACAACGCUCUACCUGCUGUUCAGAGAGGGUCAGAGGGCAGGGCGAAGCCUGAUCAUGCUAAGCCCAGUGCACCAUGGGAAAACAACACAAACAUUGGUCUGUUCAACCCAACGUUUUGUCCAAACACCAACAAAGACGAACAAGUCCCAGGAAGACCACAAAGGUAAGGCAGGAAGGGAGAAAGGAAAUGAAAGAAGGAUGAAAGGAAGGAAGGAUGAAAGGAAGGCUUAAAUGGAAAAAGGAAGAAAGUAAGGAAGGGAUAGGGAAAGAAAGGUAUAAAAAAGGAAGGUUGGAAGGGAGGACAAUGGGGAGAAGUAAGAAGUCAGGAAGGGAGGAAGGAAAGGUAAAGAGGAAAGUAAAAUGACACAUUUUCCUGUUGGUGUUUAGGCGGAGCAGAAGUCUUGAUGGAGAUCGACCAAUCAGAGAGCAGAGGAGGAG
rnacentral:lncRNA from 1 species